ACGAACGCUGGCGGCGUGCUUAACACAUGCAAGUCGUACGGUAAGGCCCUUUCGGGGGUACCCGCGUGGCGAACGGGUGAGUAACACGUGAGUAACCUGCCCACAACUUUGGGAUAACGCUAGGAAACUGGUGCUAAUACUGGAUAUGUGCUCCUGCUGCAUGGUGGGGGUUGGAAAGCUCCGGCGGUUGUGGAUGGACUCGCGGCCUAUCAGCUUGUUGGUGGGGUAGUGGCCUACCAAGGCGGCGACGGGUAGCCGGCCUGAGAGGGUGACCGGCCACAUUGGGACUGAGAUACGGCCCAGACUCCUACGGGAGGCAGCAGUGGGGAAUAUUGCACAAUGGGCGCAAGCCUGAUGCAGCAACGCCGCGUGCGGGAUGACGGCCUUCGGGUUGUAAACCGCUUUCAGCAGGGACGAAGCUUUUUGUGACGGUACCUGCAGAAGAAGCACCGGCUAACUACGUG
rnacentral:rRNA from 1 species